UUUAUUAAGUUGGUCACUAUGAUCUUAGUGUAUGGAAGUGACAUAGUGUCACACAAACGUAUCGACCCUUUCAUGUGUGCCAUGCAACGUGUCAGUGGUGAUGAAUUAAAUUAGGUUAUCAAUUAUUUACUCUAGUUAAUUGUCAUCGACAAUUAACAAAAUUCGUGGAUGAAUUUCAUUCUUGUUUAUACCAGUGUUUUGCAUACGUGGCAACAUUUGCAACCAAUCAGAAAACACAAGUUUUGAUAGGCGUGGCUUCGAACACGUAUACUUGCUUGUACGUCCGGCCGCCAUAAUUCUUGAGAAGAAAUCGUUGUGCGUGAAUUCUUGUCGUGAUUCUCUGUAGCAAACAUAGUACGUUGUUCAUUUUACAUUCCUUAGUGGAAGCUAUUUGCUGAAAAUAAUUUUACUGAACUACAUAGAUAUUGAUAAAAUGGAUGUCCAAACUGGAUUGGUAUAUGUAGCAGUAGUAGUUAUUUCAGCAGCAGUUAUUGUUUUAGUAUCAAUGUUUGGUAUAAAAGAAAAAUCUUACGAAGAAGCGAUAGCUGAACAGAGAAAACUACCUGAUGAUCUUUUGUUAAGUAAAAAAGAUAAAAGUAAAGAAAAGAAACAUAAAAAUAAGGCAGGAAAGAAAGUAAAAGAGAAGAAAGAAGAAAAAGAGGAAAAGGAUGAUAAGGAGGAAAAAACGGAACAUGUUCAAUUUGAGGAGAAUCCUCAAAUAUUGCCUUUAGAACCAUUACUACGGGAGGGUAGCAAAGGAAAUAAGAAGAAAGGCAAGUCUGAAAAGGUAAAACCAAUUCUUGUAAAUAAAGAUGAGCCAUUGGUUAUUGUGACUGAAUUAAGUCCUUCACAACCCCUCUUGGCAGAGGCUAAUCAUUUUGACCUCAUUCAUCCAAAGGACGACCUCGAACUCAUACGGAGUCACAGUAAGGAAAAUUUACAACAAAUCAAUCAAUCUGAACCAGUUUUAAAUAAGUCUCCGAAAGAAACUCCGACAAAGACGAAGAAAAAUGUAAAAGAUUCGGUGAGAAAGAAGGAUGAAAAUAUUAAAGAAGAGAAGAAAGAGGAAAAGAAAGAAACUGCUGUAAAUAUUAAUGCACAACCACUUGUUAAUAAAGAGGCUUUAAAAGAAACAAAAGAACAUAAGGAAGCUCCUAUUAAAGAUGCAAAGGAAGUAGUAAAAGAAUCUGUACCUAUUCAAUCUUCAAAUAAAGAAUCUAAAAAGACAAAGAAGAAGAAUGAUAUCCUAGCCCAAAUUGGAGGAGAUAAAGAUGCUGUUAAUGUGUCUCUUUUAAUGCCUUUAGUUCAGAAGGCGGAACUUAGCCGGUCUGAAAUUCAAAUACUAAUCGAUCAACUUUUAAAUAAACAGCUAGAUAACCCAUCGGAACAUUCAGAAUGGACAGAAGGUCGUGCAGACCCUGUUAUUAAAUUGAAGAAACAAUUAGCAGAAAAAGAAAAGGCUCUUGCCGAUGAACACGAAGCUAAUAUCGCUUUUCAAAAUAAACUAAAAGAAUUACGAACUGAACUGAACUCUGAAAGAUCUAGGUUGUCAGCUAAUGUGAGACAGUUAGAAGAAGCAUUAAACGUUAAGGUCACAGAAACUCAAACAUUACAUACACGCAUGCAACACAUUUUGGAAAGUCAUGCCGCUGAAAAACAAGGAUUUACUCGACAAAUUGAACAGUUACAAACUAAAGUAAACGAGAAUACUGCGAUUAUUCACAAAAUGCAAGAGGAUCAGGGACAGACUCAAGGCCAUCUGCAACAAGAAUUGAUAGCGCAAAGGAAGCAAAUGGAAGUACAGUUUGCGCAAAUGCGUGAAAAUGAAAAUGCAUUGAAAGCACAAAUAGCUCAGAAACAUGUUGAAGUUCAGGAAUUACAAAAUGAAUUACAAGCGACUUGUGAGAGUAGUACUGCAGAGAUAGAAAUGUUACGACAACAAUUAGGACUUAUGCAAGGUCAGUUGAUACAUUCAGAAGGACAGUUACAACAUUUUAAGGAAGCUGGUGAUAGAUUGCAAGAUGUUGCUAGACAACUUGAGGAGGCCCAUCGUGCUCAUACCGAAUUAGAUCAUAUGCUAAAAAGUUCUCAUCUCCAUGAACAAGAACUGCAAGAACAAGUAUACUCGUUACAAGAUGAAUUAAAUGCUGCGAAAGCAGAGGCUGACGAAGCUUCUAUAUUACAGGCUGAAUUACAUAACACUCAGGCUGAACUAGCGAAAAUAAAAUCAGACUUAUCAGUCUCUAUGAAUGAAGCGAAAUCUGAAGCAGCUGAAAUUACAGCUCUUAAAGUGACAUUAGCAAAUAAAGAAGAAGAAUUGAAAAAAUCACAAGACGAACUUAACAAUGUUCGAAUUGAAGCAAAACAGUCGAUAGAAAAUGUAGCACAACUGGAGGCACAAUUAGAUACUACACACAAAGAAUUGAAUACAAUAAAAACUGAAUCCGAAAGGACAACAGAAAAUUUAUCGCUCUAUCAAAGUGACAUAGAAAAAUUGAAAGAAGAGUUAAAACAAACACAAACUGAAUUAGAAAAUACUCGCGCGGAACUUACACCUGCAAACGAAAAAGCCCAUAUGGUAAAAUUAUUAACAACCGAGGUAGAUAGGUUACAAAGCACAGAGAAAAAAUUAAAUGAAACACAGUUAUUAGUUACACGAUGGCAAGAAGAAAAUGACAGACUCUCCGCACAGCUCGCGAAUUUCACAGAAUUGCAAAAGCAAUUUAAACAAUUACAAGAAGAAAAUGAAUCACUAACAUCCAAAUUAGCAGCAAUUACCGAACGAUCGAUUCCAGAAGACCGAGAAAAUGGAAUCGAUGACAAUGUUCAAAAGAAUGUAGAAUACGUAGAACAUGCUAAUCUGUUGGCCCAAAAGGAAAGUCAACUAAAUGCCUUAAAGACAGAUAUUUCCCACUUAGUUGAUGUUCUACAGGCACAAAAGUCGAAAAAUAAUGAGUUGCGUAUGAAAAACUGGAAAGUGAUGAAUGCUCUUUCUGCUGCUGAAUCACGUGUUAAAUUUAGUAAUGGGAACAACUUUGAUGAGGCUGCACAAAAAGUAAAAAUGGAACAAGAAGAAUUAACAAAAGCAUUCUUACUAAGGAUAUUCCCAGAAAUUAAAGUAUCUGAAAAAUCACAUGAUCAGUGGCUCAAAGCUUUUGAAGAAGAAGUGAAAACAGUUUUGAUUGAAUUAAGGAAAAAGAAUAUAGACGAUAAACCCUCAGAUUUAGAGAAACAAAAUAAAAACCUACAGGAUUUGGUCUCGCAUUAUAAACAAAUCAUUGAUGAUACAGAAGGUAUGCUUAAUAAGCUUCAAAGUCAUGUCGAAUCAGAAGAAACAAAGUGGGAAUCUCAACUUCGGCAAAAAGAAACAGAAGUUACAAGUCUUAGGGUUGAGUUACAAAAUAAAGUAGAAGAGUUGGAAACCAGGUUAAAAGAUGCUGAAUCUCUUAAAGAACAGGCCAAUGCUGAUUUAUUAGCUCUUAGAUCUACAUCAAAAUCAGUUUCUAGUGAAGGAAAUACUCGUGAUUUAAUAGUGUUAGAAAAGCUGCAAGAGGAGAAAGAACGUUUGUUAGAAGAUCUUCAAUUAGAAUGUCAUAAAAGGGCAACAUUACAUACAGAAGUAAUUAAUUUACGUUCUCUGGUUGCACAACUUCAGCAAGAAGUAUUACAAAUGAAGAAUGAAGUUAGUGGUGGUUGCAGCAGUUCUGAACAGUAAAUGCAAAAUGGAUCACCGACAUCUGAGUGUUCUAAUUCUGAGAUAGUACACACGUUGUUGGAUGUAACAUAGUAUAUUGUUUUAGCAGCUGCAAUAAAUUUAGGUGGUUAAGGAAAAAAAUGACUUCAAAGAUCGAUCUGCGUUAACACGGUGCGAAAGCAGGUGAUUCAGAAAGGAAAUACAAGCAUAAUUGCAUAUGCUCCCAUGUUACAUAAAACAUGUGUGGUAAACUUUGCUACUGAGAAGACUAAUAUAAUGAUAAAAAUAUGAAUAACGUUUCUUAUAAAAAGAGUAACAUAUUUUAUUAUAUGGAAAAAAUAUAAAUAAUGAAAUCCUGUAGUUAUAAAACUGAGAAAUAUUGACUUUGACGUUUAUCAUACUACUAACACAACUCAAUAAACACUGAUAGGCAUACCUUAAGAAUGAUUAAAAUGAUACAUUGUAAAUUGCAGUACAGUAAUUUUUACUAUUUAAAUAUUGUUUUCGUUUUAUGAAAUAUGUUCAGAUGCCUAUAAUUACCUUUAGCAUCUCUUUAUAGUGUUUUAUUUAAGAAUCAUUUAAAUAUAUUAAAUCAUUAACAACGUGAAGUGUACGUUAAAAAAACGCACGAUACUCAAACUAUGAAUGGGAAAACAUAUACUUUUAUGUAUAUUGUAUGCUUUUAUGUAAUUGUUUUUUAAUGAGUAGCGGACACCAGAUUUUUAGAUGAUUUUCAUAUUGUUAAUACAUUUGUAUACAAAGCUGAAAUCUUUAAUGAAAUUAUGUGCAAUAAACAAGUAUGAUCGUGUGUUCACCCGUAUUGAAAGAAAUAUUGUAGUGUGUUUAGUAGGUGGCUCUUAAAGGGAAUUUUAAAUUUAUAAAGAAUUAUUGUGUUUAUGGAAUCACAAGAAAAACUAAUCAUGCACAAGUACAGUAAAGACAUCAAAUUUGUUCAAAACACAUGUGAGCAGGUUCAAAUAUAAGGAAGUAAACAAAGUAGAGCGAAUUAUACAUAAUUGGGCAUUUCAAAGAGCGUUUAUUAAAAAUUUUAUGUUAGUUUAUUUUUAAAUCAAUUAUAAUUUUUAUUAUAAUCAUGCAAUACAAAAUAUCAAGCAGAUAAUUAAAAAUACUCUAUUUAUAAUAUAUUAAAUACUUAUUUCGUAAAUUACAUCUGUUUCAUUUAUUUUACAAAACCGUGUAUGUUUAGUUACACACCGUACUUACUUGUACUUUAUAUUUAGAAAAAUAGUAAUAGUUAAUAAAAUAUUUGUUUUAUUUGACGUUAAAUAUUGAGCGAGUUUAAGUCACAACUUAUACGUACAAUUGAUUAUAAUUUAUUUAAUCACAUUUUCAGAAUCAAAUAAUGUGGUCAUUGAUGUUUGCAACUUUUAUACAGUUACUUUUGUUUUUCUUCGACGAUAUAAUAAAUGAAGAGAUAAUUAUACAAAAACAUUUGGUGUUCAUAUUUUUAUUUAUAUGUUAUUCACUUACAUCAAGAAAUUAAAUACACUCUUAAUUACUAUGUAAUAGCAUGGAUUGCAAAAUAUUGUGUAUAUGGACACAAAUAGUUGAAAUAAACGGAAUUUUUCUAGACUAAAAAUGUUAAUG